UACAGAGGUCUCAAGCGUUGUUCGGAUUCAUUGGGCGUAAAGGGCGCGUAGGCGGCGGGGUAAGUCGGGUGUGAAAUCUCAGGGCUCAACCCUGAAACUGCACUCGAUACUGCUCCGCUUGAGGACUGGAGAGGAGACUGGAAUUCACGGUGUAGCAGUGAAAUGCGUAGAGAUCGUGAGGAAGACCAGUGGCGAAGGCGGGUCUCUGGACAGUUCCUGACACUGAGGCACGAAGGCCAGGGGAGCAAACGGG
rnacentral:rRNA from 1 species